GGUGAUUUGGGUCAAACAUAUAAUUCUCUUUCCACUCUCGAGCAUUACGUGCAGAGUGGUGGACAGACUGUCUUAUUUGUUGGUGAUCUCUCAUAUGCUGAUAGAUAUCAAUACAAUGAAGUUGGUAUUAGAUGGGACUCAUGGGGCCGUUUUGUUGAGCGUAGUGCUGCAUAUCAACCAUGGAUUUGGUCUGCUGGGAAUCAUGAGAUAGAGUACUUUCCAUAUAUGGGGGAAGUAGUUCCAUUCAGAUCAUUUCUAUCUAGAUACCCCACACCUUAUCGAGCUUCAAAAAGCAGUAAUCCCCUUUGGUAUGCCAUCAGGAGGGCAUCUGCUCACAUAAUUGUCCUAUCAAGCUAUUCCCCUUUUGUAAAAUAUACACCUCAAUGGCAUUGGUUGAAACAGGAAUUUAAAAAGGUGAACAGAGAGAAAACUCCUUGGCUUAUAGUCCUUAUGCAUGUUCCUAUCUACAACAGUAAUGAAGCUCAUUUCAUGGAAGGGGAAAGCAUGAGAUCCUCCUAUGAAAGAUGGUUUGUCAAAUACAAAGUCGAUGUGAUCUUUGCUGGCCACGUCCAUGCUUAUGAAAGAUCGUAUCGAAUUUCAAGUGUACACUACAAUGUAAGUGGUGAUCAUCACACCGUACCAGACAAAUCAGCUCCUGUAUACAUUACAGUUGGAGAUGGUGGUAACCAAGAAGGUCUUGCUGGAAGGUUUAAAGAUCCACAACCAGAGUACUCAGCAUUUAGAGAAGCCAGCUAUGGCCAUUCAACUUUGGAAAUAAAAAAUAGGACUCAUGCAUUGUA
rnacentral:misc_RNA from 1 species